rnacentral:ribozyme from 14 species
AUCUUUCGUUUGCUUGUUUUUUCUUGUUUUUUCUUGUUUCCCAUAAAAGGCGGAGAAGAUGAGGUUUCAAAACUACGGGCGGGGGGCUAGCAGGCGGUAGGCAGGUGGUAGGCAGGCAGGCAGAAGCAAGCAGGCAGGCAAAGUUGAAUUCAAAUUUGAAUUUUGUAGCUUUGCUCAGGAAUUCAAAAA